rnacentral:rRNA from 1 species
GUGGGGAAUAUUGGGCAAUGGGCGCAAGCCUGACCCAGCAACGCCGCGUGAAGGAAGAAGGCUUUCGGGUUGUAAACUUCUUUUACCAGGGACGAAACAAAUGACGGUACCUGGUGAAUAAGCCACGGCUAACUACGUGCCAGCAGCCGCGGUAAUACGUAGGUGGCGAGCGUUAUCCGGAUUUAUUGGGUGUAAAGGGCGUGUAGGCGGGACAGCAAGUCAGAUGUGAAAACCAGAGGCUCAACCUCUGGCCUGCAUUUGAAACUGUUGUUCUUGAGUGUCGGAGAGGUAAUCGGAAUUCCGGGUGUAGCGGUGAAAUGCGUAGAUAUACGGAGGAACACCAGUGGCGAAGGCGGAUUACUGGACGAUAACUGACGCUGAGGCGCGAAAGCGUGGGGAGCAAACAGGAUUAGAUACCCGUGUAGUCC